rnacentral:rRNA from 1 species
UGAGGAAUAUUGCACAAUGGGCGAAAGCCUGAUGCAGCGACGCCGCGUGGAGGAUGAAGGUCUUCGGAUUGUAAACUUCUGUUAAGGGUGAAGAAAGACGCACUUCUAAUACAAGUGUGGAAUGACGGUAGCCCUAGAGAAAGCACCGGCUAACUACGUGCCAGCAGCCGCGGUAAUACGUAGGGUGCUAGCGUUAUUCGGAGUGAUUGGGCGUAAAGGGUGCGCAGGCGGCUUAUCAAGUCAAUUAUUAAAUCUCCCGGCCUAACCGGGAAUCCGUAAUAGAAACUGAUAGGCUUGAGGGUGGAAGAGAGAAGCGGAAUUCUCGGAGUAGCGGUAAAAUGCGUAGAUCUCGAGAGGAACACCGAUGGCGAAGGCAGCUUCUUGGUCCACAUCUGACGCUCAUGCACGAAAGCGUGGGGAGCAAACAGG